rnacentral:rRNA from 1 species
CCUACGGGUGGCAGCAGUGAGGAAUAUUGGUCAAUGGACGAGAGUCUGAACCAGCCAAGUAGCGUGAAGGAUGACUGCCCUAUGGGUUGUAAACUUCUUUUAUGUGGGAAUAAAAUGUUCCACGUGUGGGAUUUUGUAUGUACCAUAUGAAUAAGGAUCGGCUAACUCCGUGCCAGCAGCCGCGGUAAUACGGAGGAUCCGAGCGUUAUCCGGAUUUAGUGGGUUUAAAGGGAGCGUAGGUGGAUUGUUAAGUCAGUUGUGAAAGUUUGCGGCUCAACCGUAAAAUUGCAGUUGAAACUGGAAGUCGUGAGUACAGUAGAGGUGGGCGGAAUUCGUGGUGUAGCGGUGAAAUGCUUAGAUAUCACGAAGAACUCCGAUUGCGAAGGCAGCUCACUGGACUGCAACUGACACUGAGGCUCGAAAGUGUGGGUAUCAAACAGGAUUAGAUACCCGGGUAGUC